ACAGAAAAAGCUGUUUAUUUUCCCAAACGGGCACAUCACAUCAACUCAAUUUCCAAUUUCAAAUUCCC
ensembl:ncRNA D2023.13 ncRNA